CACAUUUCUACGCAUUCAGUGAUAAAUCACCUAUCACUGCGUUACGCAUUCCUGAUAACGAACGACACGUGCAAACAAUUGUGGGCGCACAAGAUGCGAUCGUUGAGGAACUGGUGCAAAUAUAAAUAACAAAACGAGUUUACCUCGAUUUGAUGAAGUUUCUCGGUCGCUAUGUUUCUGCUCGAGGUUUUCAAGAAUUUUCUCACAAAUGGUGCUAAGAGCAUUGGAUCUAAUUUUUCAACAUCUUCAGAAGUAAUCAGAGUCACAAGAAGACCGAUGCUCAUAGUUACGACGGCACCGAUCAAGGUAUACCAGAUAUAACUGAGACGAUACACCGUCAAUGGCUCCCUAUUAGAUAGGAUAACUAUUUUAUCAUAACGUAUAUACAUUAAUGCUGCAAUUCUAAGCAGAAUCGUAAGUCUCGUAACUUGUUCUCGUAAAGAACUGAGUAGACAAAUCUAUGCAAUAUCAUAUGUCGUACAAUCGUAAAUAUCGUAAAUUACAUGAAAUCAUAGAUAUUUACGAGUAAUUGUACGACAUGAUAUUGCAUAGACUUGUAAAUCUACUCAUAAAUUCUGACGAAUUUUACGAGAACAAGUUACGAGACUUACGAUUCUGCUUAGAAUUGCAACAUAACUUUCUAACAAGUUAUCAGGACUUAUUAUCAGUUAUUUGUAUCAAUGUACUGAUUGAGAUCCAUUUGUACCGAAGCUGAGAUACAUUUCAACUCACUCUGCAUUCGGGUCGUCCAAAAUUGAGUCAGGCGGAACGAAUAACAGCAAAUUCUCCACUUGGGGAAACGAGUACGUGCAUCCUUCUAUGGUGACGGGUUUCUCCUCGUAUCUGUAAGGAGAUGGAUGCAUCAGAAUAGAUAUUCUGCUUUGAAAAUAAUUAAUUGGGAUGCGAUACGAUAUAAUAUAAAUCCAACACUGUUGAAAAUAUGAAAUAUAUCAGUGACUUCGACACUAACUUGACUCUCCCUGUGGCAAUUGCUGUUCCGGCGGAGAGGCCAAGCCAGCCCAUAAAGCCUAAACCCGCGAGUCCCCCUACCAAAGCGCCCUAUCGCAGGUUUGAUAAAACAAAAUUAAAUAAGAACGGAAUAAUUCGAUAUAAUUUUCUCGUUAAGUCUUUCGCUCCCUCGCCGCGGCCAUUUUGAUUUAUGACCGUCGGAAGAGUAAAAAAUACACAAUUCCUACGCAACAUGUUGAAAUGAAAUUAUAUGUUUACAAAAUGAUGAUUUGCAAUCGAUCGAGUAGACCCGUAAAAUAGUCCGAGCACUUUCCAUUAACAAUCAAUAAAUCGCCGUAAAAUUAACGUAACAAGAUCAUGAGAGAAGGUAGGUUAAAGAGGAAGGUUGCAGGUCACACUAAUUUUACGAUUAUUUAUUGAUUGUUCGAAUAAAAGGAAAGUAAUCAAAGUAUUUCACAAGUUUGCUGGAUCGAUUGCAAGUAUAAUUUGGAUUUUAACGUGUAUCUUCUUGUUUCUGACGUCACCAAUCAAGAGUUUCGCGGAGAGGCCUUAAGCUCAAGGUUGAGUUGUUUACCGACACAUACCCUGGCGUUAAUCCAUGGCAACAGCACGCCCAUGCUGAAUAUACCGAGAGUUGGGCCAGUACUGAUGGCGGACAGACUUAUUGACAACUGCGGUAUUUAUUAAAUAUAAAAAGAGCAAAUGAUACACAUUGAUUUGAAUCCCUCUGAUACUAAUCGUGCAUACCUGUAAUACGUGAGUACUCGUCUUCUCGACGAGGAAAACGAGCGCAACGCAGAUCGCCCCUAAAACGACAACUGUGAGCUUCAAGAAGAUGUCAGUUCCUUUGCGCGUGAACGGCGUCUUCAUGAAAGGCUUAACGAAAUCUUCCAGCACCACAGCCGCCAUGGAGUUUAAGCCGGUGGAUAGUGAGCUGAAGAAGUAUAGUCCAAUUUACUUAGAAAAAUUAUUUACCUAAACAAUACUAAUUAUAGACCCAAUAAAUUUUUAUUUCAUUUAUUUUAAA